rnacentral:rRNA from 1 species
AGCUCCAAUAGCGUAUAUUAAAGUUGUUGCGGUUAAAAAGCUCGUAGUUGGAUUUCUGUCGGUAAACGGCCCUCCGCCCCUAGUGGUGAGCAGUGGUUGUAUUCCCGGCAUCCUCCUAGGGAAUGCUGCUGCACUUUAUUGUGUGGUGCAUGAACUAGGACUUUUACUUGAGGAAAUGAGAGUGUUUCAAGCAGGCAUGCGCCGUGAAUACGUUAGCAUGGAAUAAUAGCAUCGGACUUCGAUCCAAAGCUGUUGGUUUCUUGGAUCGAAGUAAAG